CACACACACACACACACGUCUAGCCCUUCCUCUCUCCCUGCUGGUGGGUGCCUCGCAACCUGACUACCUAGCCCUAGCUCACAGUCACUGGCAGAGCAGGAAGCCUGGGAGACAGGGCAGAGGUGGCCAAGGGAAAGGAGAGGAAGGGGCCUGUAAUGGAGGAGGGGGCUCAGGCCUGAGAAAAAGAAGGCAGUCGGGAGACACAGCCUGCAGGAGAGGGGGAGCAUAAAGGGAAAGCCAACACUAAUCCCUCAGCCUGCCUACGUGGGGCCUGACAGUUUACAAAAGCCUUUUCCCUGAAUAUUAUCUCAUUUGCGCCAGCCUCACCACCAGGCUGUGAGGGAGGUAGGGCAGAUAGCAUUACUCCCAUUAGCAGAGGAGGGAAAUGGGGCCCAGAGAGGUUGAGAGGUGUGUACCAAGGUCCUAGAGCUAAGAGUGGUGGAGGAGGCCUAAGGCCUGGGGUUUCCUGCCCCCAGGUUCACUUUCCUGUUCAAUAGAGCUGUGUGUGUGUGAGUGUGAAUAUCUGUGUGUAGGGGAAAGGGAAUGGCUGGACAGCAAUGAACAGUUCAGUUAGGGAAGUCUAGGAAGGAAGGACACAGUCCUACACCUCUUCCUCUACCAAGUCUCCCCUGCCUCUCGGUAACAGCCUUGGACCUGGCCCCAACCCACCUGCCCAGGGGUAAGUUGUUAGGGCCCGGCUGUGCCUUCAGCAGUGGCUAUCCCAGAGGUCUUGUAUCUUUGGGAGGCCCGACUCUGCUUGUCUGCUCAGCUCUUCUCUCUGCUUGUCAUCCCCUCCCCCAGCCUCGGCUGCAGGAUGCCUUGCGUCCAACUGUGGUUUCCGGGCAAUAAAACAACUAUUAAAGUCUCAGGCACGGCUGGUGAUUUGCAUCACAUCCUCUCGUGCAUGGAUUCAAUAUUUAAUACACAAUAUUGAAUACGGAUAUUAAAAAUCAAUAGCUGAGGACCCCUAGGGAGGCAGCACAGUGCGAUCCUGCUUCGGGAACACAACCAGCUCCUCCAAAAAGACAGGAACGGCAAGUUCAGCCAAACUGAGCCUAGCGCCAGGGAAAGUGAGGAGUAGUGAAUGCUUCUCAGCUUCCUGGUAUGCCUAACUGCACCAUUUGUAAGUCGAGAGCUAAACAGAGGCCAAAGGAAUGAUAUGCCCCCAGGCUUUACGAGCCGGGAGUGGGUGCGAGGGUGGGGUAGGAUUUGUUUCCAAGCAAGCUACCAGGCCAAUAGAACUAUUUUGGUUACUGUUUGCAUUUUUGUUUAAUUCAAGUCUGAGUCCUUCAGGCAAGCACUCAACUCUUCCCACCGUAACGACUCCUUCCCCAGACCUCACGAUAUUCAUCACCAUGGGCCCCAUGGGGAGUUGUUGGCAUAAACUUUCAGGGAGAUGGAAUAGGAAUUCCAAUGGCUGAGAAUAUUCUUUGCACAGUAAAAGAAAUGUGAAUGCCUGAUACCAGGCUCAGAGUCGCAGGAUCUUCUGAGACCCCUCAAGACCAGCCCUCAAGACAGAAACCCUCAGGCCAUGGGACCUAUUCAAGGGCCUGGUGCUAUCUGGAUGAUGACAGAGGGAAGGGGAAAACUACCAGAAGGGGUCCGGGACAUCAAAGCACCCUUGCUCCAGAAUGAGAAUCCAGAUUGUCUGUUAAACCACCAGGAAAAAAGUGAGCUCCUGCGACACAGAAUUAUCUUUUCAGGCCUGAAAAGGAACACAAAUUACUCUUUUUAAAAAAUCAAAACAUAGAAAUGCACUUUACCCUACACAGAAACAAGGUUCUCACAAGCUGAUAGGGUACAGGUGAAGGAGAAUAACCACCUUUGAGAGGCUUCAUUUUUUUCCGCUACAGAAAGAGAAGAGAAACUAACAGUGGGAGACACACUUAGGUUAUCUAAUUGGAAGGGCCUGGAGGCUUUUAGAUGCCAAGGAACUAGGUGAACUUGACUUACCGAAGUGCCAUCCUGGACACCAUUAUAUUAGCUUUAUAGAUUCUCUUUUUAUCAUAGCUUAAAUCAUUAUGAACUGAGUUGGAAAUCUUGCUCUGGUUAUAAGUACAUGGAGAGGACUCCUCAGGAAAACCCCAAAGUGGCCGUCCAGGUAAAAGUUAGAAGGCAGGGAAAGAGGUGUUGGAAAAUGACAGUUAAUGAGUCACUGGCCUUGUCUCUUUGUUCCCUGACAGUUGUCAGAGACCCAUCAAAGGGAGGGAACAGGCGCCUUUCUCAGAACUGUUACAGGAAAAACUGACCCUCUCUUGCUGCUACAGAUACCCUCAGUGGUAUUCUCAGACCCAGCCCCCUGUGAGUUUGUGUGUAUUUAUGUACUUCAGGGCUGGGGGUACAACCACUUUUACAAUAUCGGGCCCUGGGCCUGUGAAACCCACUAGCAAAAGUUCUAUUCAGAGGGAAAGACGUUCUAAAGUGGGCAUUGGAUAUAAAGCAACUGCUCUAGCACCAUCAGCAAUGUCUUCUUCAGUCCUUCAGCACUACCAAACUACCUCACUUGUUCCCACUUUGGCCAUGGGGCCAGGCUUGGGGCCUCUUACAGACCCAUGCAGACCUGACAGCUUGCAGACCGGAUACUUUACACCUAGAGGGGACAUUAUGGCUAGGGUAUCAGACAACAGGCCAAGGAAGAAGGGAGGCACAGCUGUGGGGGAGGGGGGCCGGGCCCAGAAGGGCUGGCUGGCACAAGCUUAGAAAUGACUACGUUUGGGGAAGCGUACUCCAGAACCCACUGAGGUUGACAAGACACUUCCUGGCCCCAUUUGGUACUUCAAACCGAGAAGGAAGCAGCCUUGGCCCUUUUGGGUGACCUAGGCCCAAAAUGUAGAAGUGUUCCUCUGCAACAAGUCCCCAGUGCUGAGAAGGAUUGGGGGCAGAGCAGGAGGGAGGAGGUACCUUUGUGCCUCCCAACACCCCACCCUUUUGUAACAUUUUCCUGGAACUGAAGUCACUAGUGGAGUUGCUCCUGAAGCCCCUCUGGCACUGUCACUACCUCCUGGUGCAAUACAGCAAGGACAAUGGCUUUCUGCUGAGAGGAUCCCCUGUAUAGUAUUUGUGCUUACCAAAACAAUUAGCCUCAGGUUCUGGCGCAAAGCCUCACAGUUCUGGUAAGACUCUACCUCCCCUUCCGUGUCCUGUAGAAGAACACCCCCGAACUGCUGGGGUGAACACGGAGCCUGAAGCCAGGGUCAGCGGAGGCAGGGUCCCCCACAACCAACAAGUUGCUGGAGGAGAUAACAGCUGUGGGAAGGGGAGAGGAGCCGCAGGCAGCCACGACUGAACGGUUGCGGUCUAGAAAAUUCAACAAGAUUCCGCCGAGGUGGCGGCGGCGGCUCCAAUUAGCUGAGCCAACUGGGAAGGCAGAGAGCGAGGCGGCGGCCCCGCCGAUCGUGCCCGGGGCGAGCAGGCGGGCGAGGGCGCUGGGCCUCGGAGCAACCCGGCGGCCCUCGCCCGGCCCCUCCCGCGAGCUCUCGGAGCGCGCCUAGUGUUUACACACUGUCCUUCCGAAACGGGAUCAAGUUUCAGGCCGCGCUGGAGGCGCCGGCCACAGGCCCGGGAGAAGGGAAGAUGGGGCGCGGGAUCUAAGGCUGCGCUGCGCGGACUAGAAGGCCUGGCUCGCACAGGCACAGCUAGUGCAGCGGUGCCCCCCAAGCGGGGGAUGAGGGGCCUUAAGCAAUCUCGGGAACAAUUUUCCUCGCCUAGAACACUGCUCUCGGGAAGCUGGUGGUGAUCUGCUGCAGUGUGGCGCCAGGUGAAGGACAGCCCCAGAGUCCCAGCUUCGGAGCUGAGUGGUGAGCCAGAGAGAGAUGUGCCUGCCGAGCAGUCAUUGACGUCCUGUAAUGGAUGCUGAACAAAAGAAAGGAAAGCGAAGAUGGAGGAGCAGCCCAGGCAGAUGGACAUUGCAUCAGAUGUGGAUCCUUCAGCUGCAAGGAACCGAAGACAUGGUGAAAAGUGGUUUACAAAAGGGGGCUGUAUCUCCCCAGAGACGAACUCAAGAGGCCACCUCCUUCCCUGGAGGGUCCAGCAGCUGAGGGGGUUUACAUCUCUCUGCUCCCCUCUCCUUAGGCUGUCAGAGGUGACUCUCCUUGUGGUCUAAAGAUGACUAAAGAGAUUCUAGGCAUCACAUGUUUGGCUUGAAGAAAUUGACACCGUCUCUGUGAGGCUUCAUUAGUGGAUUUUACUUGUUGUCCCACUGUCUAGGACUAGGUCGCAAGGGCAUACUCAACAGUCUUUGGUAAGGGCUAUGAGGUCACCAUGGUUGGCUUAGGCCAAGCACAAUUCCCCCGCCUUGGGACUGGGGAGGGGCUCACCUUCCCCAAGCACACUGGAGGGAGAACAUCAGAAUAAAAUUUGGGCUUGGCCAUCAAGGGAGAUGGAGGGGAGUUGGGGGCACAGAAGGAGAGAAGUAACCCUUGGAUAAGCGACCUAUAGUUUUGGCCACAGCUACCUAUCUACCAGCCUUUUUUUUCUUGACUCUAUGUCCUAUUUUCAUUAAUAGAGAAUAUAACCUUGCUGGCAGGAACCCUGUUGAUUUUUCUAUUCCCCAGGCACAUAGUGGGCACUUUAUAAACAUUUGUUGAUGAUAACAUAUAUAAGUAAUUGUAAAUAUCAUGGAGCAGUAGAGUUUGUACAUAUGUCUUUUUGUUAUUGUUGUUUUUGGAGAGCUGUAAGGGAUUUCAGGAAACAAUAUUAUAAUUUUUGAAGUGAUUCUUAAAGUGUUACUCUGAAAUUCAUUAUGAGAGAGUGAUCAAGGAGGAAAUACUACACAAAAAUAACGGUAUGUCAUUCCCUGGUGAGAGGAAGUCAGGAGAAAAAAAAUAACCAACAUACAUCUAAGGGAAUAUAUAUAUAUAUACACACACACACACACACACACAGAAAUUUUUUUUCCUUUUUUCCUCGAGCUUUCCCUUCCUGCUUUAUCAAAGUAAUCUACAUUGAGAAUUUCCCCCCCUAUAGUAAAGCAUUUUUACAAGUUUGGUUAACCAAACAAAUCAAUAGUGGCACCCAGUGGCUACAAGGGUUAAUCAGGGAACAGCAAUUUCUUUCUACAUCUCUGUUCUGCCAACCAUAGCCCCACUUAAAAAUUAAACCAUUGAGACAAGUAUUUGAAGAAAAUGUCUGUGUGGGCUUAGACUCCCCCAGUCUUUUGUUUCCCCAAGCCUCCUCUCCUUUGAGCAACGGGGACCGUGAAGGCCCACCCUCUACUUUGGAGCCCAGAGCCAGGGUGUGCAAAAGCCUCUGUGCCCUGUGUUGGCACAGGUAUAGGGAUUGUUAAAAGCUUAUUUAUUCUCUGUCCUCUCUAGAACUGAGCGAGUGUAAUUAUGUGCAUUGCUGGAGUUCCGGGUCUUUCCUCCAGAGCACAUUCCCUCCCAAAGUUGCUGACGUCUGGUUCUUACUGGAUUUCAGGAGGCAGGUGAUCCAAAAAAAAACUGAAACCUCUGCCAGUUAACAGGAUAACCAAUUAACCAAACCAGUGAGAGGGAACAGGAAAAUGCCCAUGUCUAACUUUGGAUUUCAUUUCCCUUCCAGCAGUAAGCAGGAAAGACACGUGACUUUGGUCAGGCUGGUAAUUACUCAGUCAUCAGGCUUUGUAAGGUUCUAAGUCCUAUUCAUUAAACUGUGUAAUCUGCGCCUCUGACUCAGAAGGGAAGAGAGGCACAGUAUGCCCUCAAUCCCCUUCUCCAUCCCUCCACACCCGCCUUCCCCAUCCCUCCCCUUUGGUAACUGCUAGUCCCUGCUUGGAGUCUGUGAGUCAGCUGCUGUUUUGUUUCUUCAGUUUUGCUUCAUUGUUACACUCCACAAAUGAGGGAAGUCAUUUGGUACUUGUUUUUUCUCCGCCUGGUUUAUUUCACUGAGCAUGAUACCCUCUAGCUCCAUCCAGGUUGUUGCAAAUGGUAGGAUUUGUUUCUUUCUUACGACUGAAUAGUAUUCCAUUGUGUAUAUGUAACACAUCUUUAUCCACUCCUCUACUGAUGGACACUUAGGGAAUGUGAGAAGCUGUUUUCUUUGGGUAAAUUUCUAGGAGUGGAAUUCCAGGGUCUAAUGGUAUUUCUAUUUUUAGUUUCUUAAGGAACCUCCAUAUUGCUUUCCACAAUAGUUGACGUAAUUUACAUUCCCACCAGCCGUGUGGGGGGGGUUCCCCUUCCUCUACAUCUUUGCGGGCAUUUGUUGUUCCUAGUCUUUUCAAUGUUGGCCAUUCUAACUGGUGUGAGGUGAUAUCUCAUUGUGGUUUUAAUUUGCAUUUCCCUGAUAAUUAGCGAUGUGGAGCAUCUUUUCAUGUGCCUCUUGAAGCCAUGCCUCUUAUUAUUCCUGUCCUUUUGCAGCUCCUUCCUACACUGAAUCAGGGUAAAUCUACUCCUAGACUCCUGCAGAUAGGGUGGAGUUUGACUUUUGAGGUCUGUUAUAAAAGGCAUUGCAACCUUCUUUGGAAAUUCAUUCUUAUUGAGAUACAGUUGCUAUAAAACACUGUGUAUGUUUAAGAUAUACAAUGUAUUGAUCUGAUACAUUUGCAUGUUGCAAGAUGAUUACCACCACAGCAUUAACUAACACCUCCAUCAUGUCCCAUAAUUUCUACUUCUGUUUUUGUGGUGGGAACAAUUAAGAUCUAGCCUUUCAGCAACUCUGAUCUUUAUAAUACAGUAUUGUUGACUAUAGUGGCUAUGCUGGGCAUGGCAGCUUUUUCCUUAUGUUCUGGCAUUGCUUGUUCUGAGGCAAGCUAGCCACUGUGUUGUAAGGACGUUCAAGAAGCCCUGU